GUCAAUGGCCAUGCCACCCUGAGCAAGCCCGAUCCCGUCUCAUCUCGGAAGCUAAGCAGGGUCGGGCCUGGUUAGUACUUGGAUGGGAGACCACCUAGGAAGACCAGGUGCUGCAGGCA
rnacentral:rRNA from 1 species